AGGAUCAUUAUCGAAUCAAUCAAGGCUGUUGCUGGCGCUCUGAGCGCAUGUGCACGCUUCUUUGUUUUCUCCCACUGUGCACAAUCUGUAGACCCUUUUUUUCUUUUGAGGAUUGCUGUGCGAAAGUCGGCUCUCCUUGUUGUCUACGCUUUCACAAUCUAUUGAAUGUAUUAGAAUGCUUUGAAUAUGGGGAAUAUACAUACAACUUUCAGCAACGGAUCUCUUGGCUCUCGCAUCGAUGAAGAACGCAGCGAAAUGCGAUAAGUAAUGUGAAUUGCAGAAUUCAGUGAAUCAUCGAAUCUUUGAACGCAUCUUGCGCUCCUUGGUAUUCCGAGGAGCAUGCCUGUUUGAGUGUCAUUUGAAACCUCUCAACCAUCCUUUGAGGUGGCUUGGAAAUGGGGGAUUGUUGCAGGCUGAAGUCUGCUCCCCUGAAAUGCAUUAGUGGUGUCUGGGCUAACCAACCACAGGUGUGAUAACUAUCAAUGCCUUGGUGGAAACCUUGCUGCUUCCAACUCUCAUAUGACCAACUUGACCUCAAAUCAGGUAGGGUUACCCGCUGAACUUAA
rnacentral:rRNA from 1 species